UGAGUACGAGAUGCUACGGCAUCGAAGCAGUCUAUGUCAUACUUCCAAGAAAAGCUUGCACUGUCAGAAACAGAUAAUGCCUGUACCAUAACCGACACAGGUGGGUAGGUAGAGUAUACUAAGGGGCGCGAGAUAACUCUCUCUAAGGAACUCGGCAAAAUGACUCCGUAACUUCGGGAGAAGGAGUGCCUUAUUUUUAAGGUUGCAAUAACAAGAUCCAAGCAACUGUUUACCAAAAACACAGGUCUCCGCUAAGUCGUAAGACGAUGUAUGGGGGCUGACGCCUGCCCAGUGCCAGAAGGUUAAAGAAGUCGGUUAGCAUUCGCGAAGCUGGUAACUGAAGCCCUGGUGAACGGCGGCCGUAACAAUAACGGUCCUAAGGUAGCGAAAUUCCUUGUCGGGUAAGUUCCGACCCGCACGAAAGGCGUAAUGAUUUGGAUACUGUCUCGGAGAGGGGCUCGGUGAAAUAGACUUGUCUGUGAAGAUGCGGACUACCUGCACCUGGACAGAAAGACCCUAUGAAGCUUUACUGUAACUUGAAAUUGAAAUUGGACUUUAUUUGCGCAGUAUAGGUGGGAGGCGUUGAAAAUAUUCUUGCGGGAAUAUUGGAGCCAUCAGUGAGAUACCACUCUUGUAAUGUUAGAUUUCUAACUUUAUAUCAUUAUCUGGUUAAAGAACAGUUUCAGGCGGGCAGUUUGACUGGGGCGGUCGCCUCCCAAAUGGUAACGGAGGCGCACAAAGGUUUCCUCUGAACGGGUAGAAAUCGUAUCUAGAGUGUAAAGGCAUAAGGAAGCUUGACUGUGAGACCUACAAGUCGAGCAGGGACGAAAGUCGGUCUUAGUGAUCUGACGGUGCUGAGUGGAAAGGCCGUCACUCAACGGAUAAAAGUUACUCUAAGGAUAACAGGCUGAUCUCCCCCAAGAGUUCACAUCGACGGGGAGGUUUGGCACCUCGAUGUCGGCUCAUCGCAUCCUGGGGCGGUAGUACGUCCCAAGGGUUGGGCUGUCCGCCCAUGAAAGCGGUACGCGAGCUGGGUUCAGAACGUCGUGAGACAGUUCGGUCCAUAUCCGGUGUAGGCGUUAGAAUAUUGAGAGGAGCCUUCUUUAGUACGAGAGGACCGAGAAGGACAUACCUCUGGUGUACCAGUUAUCGUGCCAACGGUAAACGCUGGGUAGCUAUGUAUGGAGUGGAUAACCGCUGAAAGCAUCUAAGUGGGAAGCCCACCUCAAGAUAAGUAUUCUCACC
rnacentral:rRNA from 1 species